AGUUAUAUUGGAUAAUAAAGUGGUUUUGAAAGCUACUGUGAAGUGUUCGAUUCACUUGUAACUUUA
rnacentral:tRNA from 1 species